rnacentral:rRNA from 1 species
CGGAGGUGCAAGCGUUGUCCGGAUUAUUGGUUAAGGUGCGUAGGUGGUCCUGUAAGUCCGUGGUGAAGCCUGCUGCUCAACAGCAGAACUGCCAUGGAUACUGCAGGACUUGAGUCCAGACGAGGUUGGCGGAAUAGAAGGUGUAGCGGUGAAAUGCAUAGAUACCUUCUAGAACCCCGAUUGCGUAGGCAGCUGACUAGGCUGGUACUGACACUGAGGCACGAAAGCGUGGGAGCGAACAGGAUU